GGGGAAUAUUGCGCAAUGGGGGAAACCCUGACGCAGCAAUACCGCGUGAGUGAAGAAGGUUUUCGGAUCGUAAAACUCUGUUGUAAGGGAAGAACCAGUACGUCAGGCAAUGGACGUACCUUGACGGUACCUUAUUAAAAAGCCACGGCUAACUGCGUGCCAGCAGCCGCGGUAAUACGUAGGUGGCAAGCGUUGUCCGGAAUUAUUGGGCGUAAAGCGCGCGCAGGUGGUUUCUUAAGUCUGAUGUGAAAGCCCACGGCUUAACCGUGGAGAGUCAGUGGAAACUGGGAGACUUGAGUGCAGAAGAGGAAAGUGGAAUUCCAAGUGUAGCGGUGAGAUGCGUAGAGAUUUGGAGGGACACCAGUGGCGAAGGCGACUUUCUGGUCUGCAACUGACGCUGAGGCGCGAAACCAUGGGGAGCAAACA
rnacentral:rRNA from 1 species